rnacentral:rRNA from 1 species
AUGAACGCUGGCGGCGUGCCUCAUCCAUGCAAGUCGCGCGAACAGACGAGGAGCUUGCUCCUCUGACGUUAGCGGCGGACGGGUGAGUAACACGUGGAUAACCUACCUAUAAGACUGGGAUAACUUCGGGAAACCGGAGCUAAUACCGGAUAAUAUAUUGAACCGCAUGGUUCAAUAGUGAAAGACGGUUUUGCUGUCACUUAUAGAUGGAUCCGCGCCGCAUUAGCUAGUUGGUAAGGUAACGGCUUACCAAGGCAACGAUGCGUAGCCGACCUGAGAGGGUGAUCGGCCACACUGGAGCUGAGACACGGUCCAGACUCCUACGGGAGGCAGCAGUAGGGAAUCUUCCGCAAUGGGCGAAAGCCUGACGGAGCAACGCCGCGUGAGUGAUGAAGGUCUUCGGAUCGUAAAACUCUGUUAUUAGGGAAGAACAAAUGUGUAAGUAACUAUGCACGUCUUGACGGUACCUAAUCAGAAAGCCACGGCUAACUACGU